AAGUAGGAAUCAAGGUCAAUGACAUGACACGAAGGCAGGCAGGACACCUUUUCUACUUUUGUUUUGUCAAGUGUUAUGUCAUUGACUUGAGAUUCCUACUUGG